GAACAUGCUAAGUGUGAAGCGGCUCCC
rnacentral:piRNA from 1 species